GAACGAACGCUGGCGGCAGGCCUAACACAUGCAAGUCGAACGCACCGCAAGGUGAGUGGCGGCACGGGUGAGUAACACGUGGGAAUGUACCCUUUGGUUCGGAAUAACGUUUGGAAACGAACGCUAAUACCGGAUGAGCCCUGCGGGGGAAAGAUUUAUCGCCAAAGGAGCAGCCCGCGUCUGAUUAGCUAGUUGGUGGGGUAAAGGCCUACCAAGGCGACGAUCAGUAGCUGGUCUGAGAGGAUGAUCAGCCACACUGGGACUGAGACACGGCCCAGACUCCUACGGGAGGCAGCAGUGGGGAAUAUUGGACAAUGGGCGCAAGCCUGAUCCAGCCAUGCCGCGUGAGUGAUGAAGGCCUUCGGGUUGUAAAGCUCUUUCGCACGCGACGAUGAUGACGGUAGCGUGAGAAGAAGCCCCGGCUAACUUCGUG
rnacentral:rRNA from 1 species